rnacentral:rRNA from 1 species
CGGAGAAGGCUAUGUUGGCCGGGCGACGGUUGUCCCGGUUUAAGCGUGUAGGUGUGUGUUCCAGGUAAAUCCGGUCCACUUUAACACUGAGGCGUGAUGACGAGGCACUACGGUGCUGAAGCAACAAAUGCCCUGCUUCCAGGAAAAGCCUCUAAGCAUCAGGUAACAUCAAAUCGUACCCCAAACCGACACAGGUGGUCAGGUAGAGAAUACCAAGGCGCUUGAGAGAACUCGGGUGAAGGAACUAGGCAAAAUGGUGCCGUAACUUCGGGAGAAGGCACGCUGACACGUAGGUGAAGUGAUUUACUCACGGAGCUGAAGUCAGUCGAAGAUACCAGCUGGCUGCAACUGUUUAUUAAAAACACAGCACUGUGCAAACACGAAAGUGGACGUAUACGGUGUGACGCCUGCCCGGUGCCGGAAGGUUAAUUGAUGGGGUCAGCGCAAGCGAAGCUCCUGAUCGAAGCCCCGGUAAACGGCGGCCGUAACUAUAACGGUCCUAAGGUAGCGAAAUUCCUUGUCGGGUAAGUUCCGACCUGCACGAAUGGCGUAAUGAUGGCCAGGCUGUCUCCACCCGAGACUCAGUGAAAUUGAACUCGCUGUGAAGAUGCAGUGUACCCGCGGCAAGACGGAAAGACCCCGUGAACCUUUACUAUAGCUUGACACUGAACAUUGAGCCUUGAUGUGUAGGAUAGGUGGGAGGCUUUGAAGCGUGGACGCCAGUCUGCGUGGAGCCGACCUUGAAAUACCACCCUUUAAUGUUUGAUGUUCUAACGUGGACCCGUAAUCCGGGUUGCGGACAGUGUCUGGUGGGUAGUUUGACUGGGGCGGUCUCCUCCUAAAGAGUAACGGAGGAGCACGAAGGUUGGCUAAUCCUGGUCGGACAUCAGGAGGUUAGUGCAAUGGCAUAAGCCAGCUUGACUGCGAGCGUGACGGCGCGAGCAGGUGCGAAAGCAGGUCAUAGUGAUCCGGUGGUUCUGAAUGGAAGGGCCAUCGCUCAACGGAUAAAAGGUACUCCGGGGAUAACAGGCUGAUACCGCCCAAGAGUUCAUAUCGACGGCGGUGUUUGGCACCUCGAUGUCGGCUCAUCACAUCCUGGGGCUGAAGUAGGUCCCAAGGGUAUGGCUGUUCGCCAUUUAAAGUGGUACGCGAGCUGGGUUUAGAACGUCGUGAGACAGUUCGGUCCCUAUCUGCCGUGGGCGCUGGAGAACUGAGGGGGGCUGCUCCUAGUACGAGAGGACCGGAGUGGACGCAUCACUGGUGUUCGGGUUGUCAUGCCAAUGGCACUGCCCGGUAGCUAAAUGCGGAAGAGAUAAGUGCUGAAAGCAUCUAAGCACGAAACUUGCCCCGA